GAUGAAGAACGUAGUGAAAUGCGAUAAGUAAUGUGAAUUGCAGAAUUCAGUGAAUCAUCGAAUCUUUGAACGCACAUUGCGCCCGCCAGUAUUCUGGCGGGCAUGCCUGUCCGAGCGUCAUUUCAACCCUCGAACCCCUCCGGGGGGUCGGCGUUGGGGAUCGGCCCUGCCUCUUGGCGGUGGCCGUCUCCGAAAUACAGUGGCGGUCUCGCCGCAGCCUCUCCUGCGCAGUAGUUUGCACACUCGCAUCGGGAGCGCGGCGCGUCCACAGCCGUUAAACACCCAACUUCUGAAAUGUUGACCUCGGAUCAGGUAGGAAUACCCGCUGAACUUAAGCAUAUCAAUAAGCGGAGGA
rnacentral:misc_RNA from 1 species